rnacentral:rRNA from 1 species
AACGAACGCUGGCGGCAUGCCUAACACAUGCAAGUCGAACGAGACCUUCGGGUCUAGUGGCGCACGGGUGCGUAACGCGUGGGAACCUGCCCUUAGGUUCGGAAUAACUCCCCGAAAGGGGUGCUAAUACCGGAUAAUGUCUUCGGACCAAAGAUUUAUCGCCUUUGGAUGGGCCCGCGUUGGAUUAGCUAGUUGGUAGGGUAAAAGGCUACCAAGGGGACGAUCCAUAGCUGGUCUGAGAGGAUGAUCAGCCACACUGGGACUGAGACACGGCCCAGACUCCUACGGGAGGCAGCAGUGGGGAAUAUUGGACAAUGGGCGAAAGCCUGAUCCAGCAAUGCCGCGUGAGUGAUGAAGGCCUUAGGGUUGUAAAGCUCUUUUACCCGGGAUGAUAAUGACAGUACCGGGAGAAUAAGCUCCGGCUAACUCCGUG